GGCCCCACCCAAAGCCUAAAGGAUGCAAGUUAUCUGUAAGACACCUCGCAAAGUCUUGCAUUGCAGUAACCAUCCCUCAGACCAAUGAGAUCCAGCACCCUCUGGAGUCAACAAUCUUGAGUCAGCCACAGGGGAACCGUGGAGCACAACACAGCACACUCCAGCCCCUGCUGCCCAGAAGCAGAUAACCAAGGAAGGGAGGAGGAAGUGGAACUUCUGCUGCUGCAUUUAUCUGCAGUUCCCCAAGAGCUAAGAUCUGCCCCACUCACUGGAGUCUGGUGAUAGGCACAGACACAGAAGAGAGCAGCUCCACCACAGAAACCCCCCAGCAGAAGAGGACACGAGCCUGGGCAACACAGACCUGGUCCCAAACGUAAAAAGGAACCACAGGCCUCAAGAAAAACAACAUGUAUGACAGUGCCAUCCCAUAAAUCCCCAGGGGCACAGAUCAGGGAAGAUUCCAUGCUGACCUGUGUAGGAGCUGAAAGAAGGAAGAUGGAUGAAAACCAUGUUAGCGAGUCUAACAUUUUCAACUAAGAACCUGACCCUAUGAGCUGCUCAACCAUCUGCUCCUAAGGAAGUCAUAGGAAGAUGAGGGCACUCAGCAUCUCAGAGGAUUAGGCCCUAAAUUAAGAGGAUGAAUUUCUACAAGCUUCCACUGGUGGCAGCUGCUGCCAGUGCAGAAGAAAAUCAAAUGGAACAGGAGUAACUCUUAGAAGAAUUACCCCCACCAAAGGAGAAUCAAGACAAAUUAGGUGCAUGGCCAGGGUGAAAAAGUGGGGUUAGUUAGGAUUGAGAGAUGUACCAUACUGGCUAAAUAAAAGCCAAGAUGGGAUCAAGUUAUAGAAAGGGAGGACUGUUUUUCAAAGCCACACUACAAUCUUAUCUCCUCUACUCAAGGGAAGACCCAGCCUACUUGCUAUAUACCCUCUCUGAUCCGCGUUAGGAGUAUACGCAGAGCAGCAAGAUAUAAAAUUUCUGUGCCUUUAACUCCUCAUCUUCACUCUACAUUUAAGUAUUACAAUAAAGCAAACUGGGAAGGACAGAUCCACUGAAGAGAGGUGCAUGGAUUUUUUUUUUUUUUUUUAAAAACACUUUCCCAACCUUUUCAGGCUCACAAUCGAAGCGUUCUGUCCUGCUUUGUUCAGCACUUCGUUCCAUUCUUCAUCGCCACCCCGGAUUAUAUAUCUAAGUGAGAGGUGGAGAGGAGAAAACAAAACAAAACCAAGUCUGUUUAAAGGAGAACAGCUGAGGUUAAUUCUGUUCACAAACUGCUACCCAGCCAGUGCUUGUGUCAGCAUCCAAACAGAAGAGAGACUUUCAGAAAUAAAGAGCUGGUUCAAAGCAGAACCAGAUGGCUCAGGGGGAUCUGUAAUGCAGUACACAGCAAUUCAUGACUACAUCACUGGUCUGAAUCCAAACUAGGUCAGUGCUGACCAAGAACCUAUCAUCCAAAAGCAGUUCAGUAACAGAUGUGAAGCAAGUGGUUUCCUUCAGCUGCCCAUAUUAUGAAUGUUACCAAAUUGCUCUUUUAUGCCAGCCCCAUCACAGAGGCAGAGAACUGAACGGCAGCAGGCACACACGCUUACACCCCGCCUUCCAGUGGAGGGCCAAGGCCACAGUGGUUUUCCUUUGCAUAUAGGAGACAUGCACUGCACCUGCCCAAGUAGUAAACUCUUGCAAGGAGAGAGGUCUUCAGUCUCCAUGGCUUUUAUUAAUCUGGCAGCCAUCACCAGACCUACAUACACUAUUGAAGACAUCCAUCCAAUGUAUAGUCUCCAUUUACAGGAUUGCGGGGUUUUGUUUUUAAAGUAAAGAAGCAGAAGUUAGUGCUGCACAAAAGAUGAAGACCAAGGAUGCAUACAGCAAGUAUUCACCAGGGGAAGUUACUUAACUAAGAGAAUUCCUUGAUCAAUGGCACACACAGGAGAGGCUCCAUUGUAGAGACGGUCUGGGGUGUUGUAGCCAUUCCGCUGCUAACGACUAGGAGUAAGACUGAGCACUAACACAGGGGAACUGAAAAGAAAGGGGCCCAGGAUAUUAUAAUUUGAACAUUUCCUUUGAGGAGGAAGGCCAGAAAGACAAAUUCUGGUCCGGUUAUGCUCUUAUCCUGUGCCCCUCCCUAUGGUAUCCAAGUGUUUGAGACAUGGCAUGCAGCUUUAACUAAGGGACCACACAACAGAACUGGAGUGCUCAUUCCCUCUACCCCAAGCCUCUGGGGUCUCAAUACAGAAGUUAGCCUCUCUUCAACCUUAUAUUAAUGCUGGAUAAAGCCUUUACAGCUCUCUCAGCUCUACUACUGUACUUAUCUGUAAUCUGUCUUCCAAUAAAU